rnacentral:rRNA from 1 species
AGGACGAACGCUGGCGGCGUGCUUAACACAUGCAAGUCGAACGGAAAGGCCCGCUUGCGGGUACUCGAGUGGCGAACGGGUGAGUAACACGUGGGCAACCUGCCCUCAGCUUCGGGAUAACUCUCGGAAACGGGUGCUAAUACCGAAUAUUGACAUUUCCUCGCAUGGGGUUGUGUUGAAAGUUUUUCGGCUGGGGAUGGGCCCGCGGCCUAUCAGCUUGUUGGUGGGGUGAUGGCCUACCAAGGCGACGACGGGUAGCCGGCCUGAGAGGGCGAUCGGCCACACUGGAACUGAGACACGGUCCAGACUCCUACGGGAGGCAGCAGUGGGGAAUAUUGCGCAAUGGGCGGAAGCCUGACGCAGCGACGCCGCGUGAGGGAUGAAGGUCUUCGGAUUGUAAACCUCUUUCAGUAGGGACGAAUUUAGACGGUACCUGCAGAAGAAGCACCGGCCAACUACGCGCCAGCAGCCGC